AAAGAUUUAGUUUUAUAUUUAAAACCUUAAUUUGUCAAAUUAAAAUUAUUCAUAAGAAUAGUCUUUA
rnacentral:tRNA from 1 species